rnacentral:rRNA from 1 species
CGGGUGAGUAACACGUAGGGUGAUCUAGCCCUGCACUUUGGGAUAAGCCUGGGAAACUGGGUCUAAUACCGAAUACACCUCAUGGGCUGCAUGGUUUGUGGGGGAAAGCUUUUGCGGUGUGGGAUGGGCCCGCGGCUAUCAGCUUGUUGGUGGGGUGAUGGCCUACCAAGGCGACGACGGGUAGCCGGCCUGAGAGGGUGUCCGGCCACACUGGGACUGAGAUACGGCCCAGACUCCUACGGGAGGCAGCAGUCGGGAAUUUUGCUCAAUGGGGGAAACCCUGAAGCAGCAACGCCGCGUGAGGGAUGAAGGCCUUCGGGUUGUAAACCUCUUUUCUCAGGGAAGAUGAUGACGGUACCUGAGGAAUAAGCCACGGCUAACUACGUGCCAGCCGCCGCGG